UACGAGGGGGGCAAGCGUUGUUCGGAAUUAUUGGGCGUAAAGGGCGCGUAGGCGGUGCGGUAAGUCACCUGUGAAAACUCUGGGCUCAACUCAGAGCCUGCAGGCGAAACUGCCGUGCUUGAGUGUGGGAGAGGUGCGUGGAAUUCCCGGUGUAGCGGUGAAAUGCGUAGAUAUCAGGAGGAACACCGGUGGCGAAGGCGGGUCUCUGGGCCGAUACUGACGUGGAGGAGCGAAAGCAUGGGGGAGCGAACAGG
rnacentral:rRNA from 1 species